UUUCAAUUCUCACAACUAGAAGAGUGCUACUGACAUCCAGUGGGUCUAGGCCAAAGAGGCUGCUAAACAUCCUAAAAUACACAGGACAACACCUCACAUCAAAUAAUUAUCUAGUCCAACAUGCCAAUAGUGGUAAGGUUGAGAACCUCUGGCCUGUAAAAUCUUCAGUGAUUUAGAGCUUUCCAAAACAAUCCAACAGAAUCUUUACUAUUUUUCUCACUCACUCACUCCACUUUAGCUAAUUCAGCCCCAUUUUGAUUCCUUAUAUUGCCAAACUUUUUCCCACCUGAAGGUCUUGGUCAUUACUACUGCCCAAAACAGUUUUUCCUGUCCCAUUUCAGAUGGAGAGAAGUGCACUGUGGUGCAUACACAUAUGGCACAACAUGGCGAGGUUUCAGAUCUGAAACUAAAUAGAUAAAAAUGAACCAAAGGGAGACAAAGUGAUCUUUAAUAAACAGGAUUCAGAAGACCCAGGCAUUAGCCCUAACAGAUUAUAAAACUCAGACUUUGGCAGACGUUGCCAAGCAGUUUGGUGUCCUUAUUGAUGGGGAAGACAUAAAAUGAGGAUGAUUCUAGGCACCCUCGUCAAUGCAAAUGUACUUUAGAAGGAUUUCAGAUAACACCUGAAUCCUAAGGAUGAAGGAUAAAUUUUAUCUUUUCUUUCUUUAACAACAACAUUAUUGAGAUACAACCAUGUACAAUACACUGCAUGUAUUGAAAGCGUGAAAUUUUGUUUUGACAAAUGUAUACGUCUGUG
rnacentral:lncRNA from 1 species